UAAUGGGUCUCCUUGUCAAAUCCCCACUGGUAGGCUGAAUAUAUCCAAAGGGUUCCCCAUUUAUAAAGACACUAUAGGAUAUUGAUGAAACACAAGCCAUCAUCCAUUGACAAAAGAUAUUAGCAAAGCCCAAGCUCUUCAUCAUUGCUUCUAAAAAAGACCAUUCCACUCGAUCGUAUGCCUUCACCAUAUCUAACUUGAGAGCCAUCUCAAUAUUUCCUUCCCCUUCCACCUCUUCAUAGAAUGUAAAAUUUC
rnacentral:lncRNA from 1 species